rnacentral:rRNA from 1 species
GAUGAACGCUGGCGAGAUGCCUUACACAUGCAAGUCGUACGAGAGUUUUAACUCAAGUGGCGGACGGGUGAGUAACGCGUGGGAACGUGCCCUUCUCUACGGAAUAGUCCUGGGAAACUGGGUUUAAUACCGUAUACGCCCUUCGGGGGAAAGAAUUUCGGGGAAGGAUCGGCCCGCGUUGGAUUAGGUAGUUGGUGGGGUAAUGGCCUACCAAGCCGACGAUCCAUAGCUGGUUUGAGAGGAUGAUCAGCCACACUGGGACUGAGACACGGCCCAGACUCCUACGGGAGGCAGCAGUGGGGAAUCUUAGACAAUGGGGGCAACCCUGAUCUAGCCAUGCCGCGUGAGUGACGAAGGCCCUAGGGUCGUAAAGCUCUUUCGCCAGGGAUGAUAAUGACAGUACCUGGUAAAGAACCCCGG